rnacentral:rRNA from 1 species
UACAGAGGGUGCAAGCGUUAAUCGGAAUUACUGGGCGUAAAGCGCGCGUAGGUGGAUCGUUAAGUUGGAUGUGAAAUCCCCGGGCUCAACCUGGGAACUGCAUUCAAAACUGUCGAGCUAGAGUAUGGUAGAGGGUGGUGGAAUUUCCUGUGUAGCGGUGAAAUGCGUAGAUAUAGGAAGGAACACCAGUGGCGAAGGCGACCACCUGGACUGAUACUGACACUGAGGUGCGAAAGCCAGGGGAGCAAACGGG